GGAUUGAUGUGAAACUUGGGGACUGAUUUCAAAGCUCAGGAAGUUUGCAAGUGUGUUCCACAUUCAUCCAGGACCUGGAUGUACUUUCUUCAUGAGGUCCUGACAUGAUGCACUAAAUUUUAGAAGACACAAUAUAAAUGACAGAUUCAUCUUAUAAUGACUUAAUCCGAGGGUUAGCAAUUCUACGUAGAAAGAAGCAUAAGUCCAUGAAGAGAGAAUAAAUCAGGAAAAAAGAAAUUUGUGAAAAAAGAAAUGGUUGAUAUUAUGAAAGUUAUUCAGAAAAUUGUAAGGAAUAUUCAGCCAGUGAGAGCUGAAGGCAGGCCUGGAAAUGUCAGCCCCCAGGGUUGCAUUUUAAUGACUUAGUUCUGGUGUUCACAGCUAGACUGUGGUGUGUUCCUGAUGACAUAAACUGUUCCGCACAACACUGACAUCAGAUGGGGCCACUCUGUGACUGUGAUUGAUCAAGAUAAAAACAGGACCACUCUUCAAUCAAGCUUCAGCACAAACAGAAACAAGAACUGUAUCCAAACCACAAAUAUGCCAAGUAACCCCUGAGCUAUCAUGAGUGACUGGUGCUUCUUGAACAAUUAUUCCUUGAAUUGAGCUUCCUUUUCCUUCCUUCUGGAUGCAUGCUUGUAUACUACUGCUUCUUCCUGACCAGGUAGAAUCCAUAACAAAGAGUUUUUUCCUUGACCCCACUCCUAAAUCACCUAAUACAAACCCCAAAUCCUAGGAGUCCCUUCUAACACCUUUUCUCCAUGGUGUGAGAUCACCAAUAUUGUAAGUUCAAUAAAUUAACAUGGAUGAGUUGAAUCUGCAUUGGUAUUUGGCUAGAAGGUGCUGACAGAUAUCAUAAAGAGAAAGUCAUUAGAAAUCACCCCUCGACCUGAUGUCAUAUAAUUGGGAAUAUUUUGCAAUUUGUUGUAGUCAAAGUUCUCAUCCCUCCAAGCGGCUUACCUAUCAUUUCUACACAUAUUAUCUAGUAUUUCAUGGGUACAUGGUUUUAAUGGUUAAUAGACCUAAACUGAGUUGAUAAUCUCCAGAGAUCUGUGACUCCCUGCAAUUCUCAUAUGUGAAUGUGUACUCUUCCAAGUUAAGCCUUGCUGUGUUCUUGAAGAAAUAAUAGUCACUGAUUUUUACAAAAAGAUCCAAAAGAAAACUGAGGCUUUCUUUUUUAAAGAUUUUAUUUAUUUUUUAGAGAGGGAAGGGAGGGAGAUAGAGAGAGAAACAUCAAUGUGCGGUUGCUGGGGGUCAUGGCCUGCAACCCAGGCAUGUACCUUGACUGGGAAUCGAACCUGCAACACUUUGGUUUGCAAGCCAUGCUCAAUCCACUGAGCUACACCAGCCAGGGCUAGAAAACUGAGCCUUUUGAAAGUACAUGAAACUCACGUCAGUAAGUUCUGAUGUAAUACAUUUUUCCCCCUCCCUGCAAACAAUGCCUCAUGAAUAAAAAGUGAUGGAACCUGUGUCUGCUUUCUACCCAUGUGUUUUAGUGACUUAUCUUUGGUAACCUAUUUUCAAAAUCUAUGCAAAGCAUUUGAGACACUGUAAUUUGUCUUUUUCAACACCCACUUACGAGUUUAUUUUUGAUUCCAUAGGUUAUUUACAAUUGCAUGUUUAUACAAGUUCAGAGAGGAACUGAAGCAUAGACAAGCAACAUGGCUUCACAUGUAAGGGCACAUAAGCUGGAGUAAGACUGCCAGGGUUUGAAUGCCCCACUGACCGUGUACAAUUAAGUGUAACUUCAUUGAAGUUAUUUUUCAUCUCUGUACCUUAAUGUGAAAAUAAAUAUA